rnacentral:lncRNA from 1 species
AUGUGCUCUGGAAACAUGGUGUUUCUUAUGCGUUGGAUGGUUUUGGUUGCGGCACUGUUAGGUGCUCACAAUCAAAUAAUCCCCUGUCCUCGGGACACGCAGUUUCAAGUUAAUGGGAUUUGUUGCUCUUUCUGCGGCUCUGGACAGUUUAUAGUGAAAAAUUGCUCUGUCAUCAGUCACAUGAGAUAUUCGGGGUGCCGCUGUAAAAAGUGCUCUCAGUGUUCAGGUGAGGGAAUGAAAGUUGGAGUGAGCUGCACACAGUUCUCAGACACCCGGUGUGAAUGUGAGGAUGGCUAUGUCAAGUCUGGUGAUCAGUGCCAAAGAGUGACGGAAACAGAGUGGUCGACGCCAAUGAAGAUCCUGACUACAUCUCCAACUAUAGCUUUGCAUACAAAUGAAAUGCAACAUAAAGCCAUUAAUAUGACCUUUAUUUUUGGUCUCAUUGGACUAAUUUCGCUGAUUUCCAUUCUUGCUGCCUUUAAAUUAGGAUUCCAACAUAAAUCUAACUGGAUGGCUGGAAAAACCAUCAAAAUUUCCAUGCCAGAUGAGGAAGACCCAUUGAAAGAUGGAAUUAAAUGAACCCCAGGGAGAGCUUGUCUUUUGGUCAGACAUCCCACAACGUGUAUUUAAUGUCAGUAUUUUGAUUAUAUUUUAUAUCUAACACCAUAAAGUAUAAUAAAGUCUAGGAAAAGGCAUAGGAUAUUUACA